UACAGAGGGUGCGAGCGUUAAUCGGAAUUACUGGGCGUAAAGCGCGCGUAGGCGGUUUGGAAAGUCAGAUGUGAAAGCCCCGGGCUCAACUUGGGAACUGCAUUUGAUACUGCCAGACUAGAGUACAGAAGAGGUGACUGGAAUUCCCAGUGUAGCGGUGAAAUGCGUAGAUAUUGGGAGGAACACCAGAUGCGAAGGCGGGUCACUGGGACGGUACUGACGCUGAGACGCGAAAGCGUGGGGAGCAAACAGG
rnacentral:rRNA from 1 species